AUUGAACGCUGGCGGCAGGCCUAACACAUGCAAGUCGAACGGUAACAGGAAGCAGCUUGCUGCUUCGCUGACGAGUGGCGGACGGGUGAGUAAUGUCUGGGAAACUGCCUGAUGGAGGGGGAUAACUACUGGAAACGGUAGCUAAUACCGCAUAACGUCGCAAGACCAAAGAGGGGGACCUUAGGGCCUCUUGCCAUCGGAUGUGCCCAGAUGGGAUUAGCUACUAGGUGGGGUAACGGCUCACCUAGGCGACGAUCCCUAGCUGGUCUGAGAGGAUGACCAGCCACACUGGAACUGAGACACGGUCCAGACUCCUACGGGAGGCAGCAGUGGGGAAUAUUGCACAAUGGGCGCAAGCCUGAUGCAGCCAUGCCGCGUGUAUGAAGAAGGCCUUCGGGUUGUAAAGUACUUUCAGCGGGGAGGAAGGGAGUAAAGUUAAUACCUUUGCUCAUUGACGUUACCCGCAGAAGAAGCGCCGGCUAACUCCGUG
rnacentral:rRNA from 1 species